rnacentral:lncRNA from 1 species
ACCUGUCGUUCCGGACCUGGCUCUGGCUGAACCCCGGUGAACUUCCCCUGCAUCCCCUUCCCUGCCGGCGAGCUUGCAGCCGUGAACUUCCCGUGCCCGACCCGAGCAUCUCCGAGAGGUGUGAUCCAAGCCGUGGCGGUAAGGCUGCAGCCAGAGGAAGGAGAUUGCCGGCCCGCCCCUGGCUCCUGCUCAGCCUCCCUAAUCAACGGAGGAAUGUCUCUGGACGCGAGUGCUCCUGGAUAAGCUGCUCUGUGCACCGCUUGGCUUCGUGAGCGCUUCCUUCGUGAGCCAUCUGUGGGGGUCACGCCGGGCAAAGCACGCCGCGUGCCCCGACGGAUCGGCGUGUCUUGGUGCAGUGGGGCCAGCAGCGGUCCUGUGGCCCGGCAGGAGGAUGCACAGGGUGGCUCAGUCCUGCCUUGCCAUGGGGCCCUUGUGCAUUGUGUGAGAGCAGUAACCCUCAGUGGGGGUGCCGUGGGCCAUGCCCAGCCUGCAGAAACGAGUAUGUGGCAACGAGGACUGGGAGAAAAGGGGACAUCGUGCAGAAAGCUCUUCUUGAUUUGGUCUAUCACCACCAUUGUGAGAUACACUGGAAUAAUUGCCCAUCUGACGACAGGAAAACAUGCAAGCCCUUGGAAGUGGAACUUGCUUUAUACAUAUGAGAAUGGAGCAAGCAAUGCUUCCAAUAAAAGAAUUGUGAAACUAUUCCCAUCGGUGGCCUGUCCUCUACCCACAAUGGUGAUGGAGAAGACUGUUGGAUUUCCAUCAGGAGAACAAUUUGAGUGUGGACUCUACUGCCACAAAUUUAAGAAAGCUCUCCAGUUGCUGCUUGCCAAAGAAACAGGUGAUUUUUUUUUCCUUUUUUUUUUUUUUUUUUGAGAUAUUGACCAGUAAACAUGGGAAUCAACUUCAUCUGAAAUGCUUGUGUCUUAAUAUUUGUGUGACUUUCCUUCCUGCUCUAUGACUUGUUGAUUAUUUUUGAGUGCUCUAGGGCUUAAAGCA